NNNNNNNNNNNNNNNNNNNNNNNNNNNNUGUGAAGGUUUCCUUGGAGUCCUUGCUGGGAUGUGCAUGGAGGGUGCUCAGCAAUCCCAGGCUUGAGAGAUGGGUGCUGCCCUUCCAGUGUCUUCUCAGGGACGUUACACCUUCCCAGCUUCUCUGAAGUGACUCCAUUUACACUUCUUGCAAAGCCUUUUUUUCCCCACCCUUCUCCCUCCCCUCUGGAAGCCCUCAUUGGGUCCAUCUCUGUUCCCAGUGCAGGUGGUGCUGCAGCCGCCCCUCUGGCUGCCCUUUGCUGGCUGAGGUGAUUCUGCCUCUCCCCUCACAGCUACUGAGCACACCUCAAGGUCAGCAGUUUUGGUUUGCUUUUUACCCUCUUAAUCAUUUACCCCAGUGUGUUGGAUUCAGUAGAAAGGUUUUCCUUGUCCCUCCCGGUGAAGGGGCUGCAGAGCCCCGUGUCCGUACUCACAGAAUCCCAGAGCGAGCAGCAGGAGCAGGGCAGGAGACGUGUCCAUCUUCCCCUGGGGCGCCUGUGCCUAGGGCUGGUGCAGAGCAGCUGAGGAGAUCUCUGUCACUUGGCUUGGGAGGCUGUGUCACUCUUUGGGGAGGAUGUGAUGUCACCAGGACCCUCUUGGGUAGGGAGGUGAUGCUCGGCAUCUGCGGCGUACCGAGGACAAAAAACAUUCCUGAAGAAAUUAAUUGUCCAGAGUUUAUACAUCCUUAUCAGUUCUUAAUGGUGCCUCAAGGCGUUUUGCUGGAUGCCUUCCCUAGAGAUCCACUGAUGCUGCUCAUGGCUGAGGUAGGACCAGCCAGCACAGCCUGCUCUGCCCAGCCCUCCGGGGACCCACAGCAGCUGCAGCUCUGCACGAGUUAUGGAUGAGUCCCAUGCUUUUGGUGCAGGCUGCACUUUGCUUUUCUUGGCAGGGAUUCUGCCUCCUCCUCCUCAGCACCCUCAAGGGGUCUCACGUGGAUGGCAGAGCCCAGGCUGUUUUGUUACCCAGCAAGUGGGACACAGGUGUUUCAUGGCAUAGAGACACAGAUCAUUCAUCUCCAAGCACACGUGCUGCUGGCACACAGCUGGGUC
rnacentral:lncRNA from 1 species